CCUACGGGAGGCAGCAGUAGGGAAUUUUCGUCAAUGGGCGCAAGCCUGAACGAGCAAUGCCGCGUGAACGAGGAAGGUCUUCGGAUCGUAAAGUUCUGUUGAAGGGGAAAAAGAGCGGAGAGAGGAAAUGGUCUCCGAUUGAUAUUACCCUUCGAGGAAGUCACGGCUAACUACGUGCCAGCAGCCGCGGUAAUACGUAGGUGGCGAGGGUUAUCCGGAAUGAUUGGGCGUAAAGGGUGCGUAGGUGGCCUGCUAAGUCUGGGGUGAAAGGUACCGGCUCAACCGGUACAGGCUCUGGAAACUGGCGGGCUAGAGAGCAGGAGAGGGCGGUGGAACUCCAUGUGUAGCGGUAAAAUGCGUAGAUAUAUGGAAGAACACCAGUGGCGAAGGCGGCCGCCUGGCCUGUUACUGACGCUGAGGCACGAAAGCGUGGGGAGCAAAUAGGAUUAGAUACCCCGGUAGUC
rnacentral:rRNA from 1 species